UACGGAGGGUGCGAGCGUUGUCCGGAAUCACUGGGCGUAAAGGGCGCGUAGGUGGCGCGGGCAGUCAACGGUGAAAGUUCGGGGCUCAACCCUGAAUCGGCCGUCGAUACUCCCGGGCUUGAGCACUGUAGAGGCAGAUGGAACUCCGGGUGUAGCGGUGGAAUGCGUAGAGAUCCGGAAGAACACCGGUGGCGAAGGCGGUCUGCUGGGCAGUAGCUGACACUGAGGCGCGACAGCGUGGGGAGCAAACAGG
rnacentral:rRNA from 1 species